CUGAGAAAGAAACUGGAGAACUGUUUCAUGGAUGCAGAGCUUCAGGGCAGGAAAACAGAAAUGCUCAGAAGUUUGGCUGGACAACAAUGUGAAUACAUUUCACACUAAGGAAUUAGAAAUGGUUACCCUGGGUAAUUUUAUUUACACGUAAUAUGCUUUAUAUCACAGUUGAAAGCUUAAAUCGUUCAUUGGCAACUCUAGUUCUCGAGGGCGGUGACGACGUCAUGAGCACCUUUAGAUUCCAGACAUCUAGCACAGCGCCGGACCACGGUGCCGACAAGCUGAGGGUGAGCUUGGUGAACACUCGUCACCAAGAUGACUACACAUCGGGCAGCCGAGCAGAGCAGCCACUCGGGAGAGCAGGGAAGGACUCAUCCUGAAUGUGCUGGGUGAGCGAGAGUAGAGCGCAGGCCAACGUGAGGAAUGCAGAACACAGCGUCAGUGCGUUCCCAAGAGUAGAGCGAAGAAGAGUGAGAUCUGUCCAGCAGAUCCAAGGUGGCAAAGCGGAUGCGUGACCCCCAGGAGUGAAGUGUGAUAUCUAAUCGGUCAGACUCCGUGCGUGUCACCCUGUAAGGCCCUGUGACGUAGGUAACCCCCAGUAUGUGUGAAGUGACAAACCCGAACCAGUGCCACGGACCCCAGUUAGAACCGUAUAAAAGAGAGCGAGAAGACCAGCUCGUCGCACUCGGCGACCGAUCCAGCUCCAGGGCAACCUGCCAGGCGGGAUCUCGGAGGAGACCUCGGCGGAGACCUCGGACGCUGCCCGGUGUGGACCCCGGAUCACCGCCGAGGCCACCAGACGGACAACCGCCAUCGCCAGGAGAGGAGAAACAAAGUCGCGCUCCUCGGACUUGUGCAGGCUUUCUAAAGCACGUGCAAGACCCACAGCUAAGAACUAGAGAACAUGGCAGACCUGCUUCCAGGGCCACGGAAGGAAUCGGAUUCCACCAACCUGGAAUAUCACUUUUUAAAAUUAAAGCAAAACGCAUAGAAAGCUAAGUCAGCCACAUCAAAAUGAACAAUGUCGUGGCAUUCACUUUGUUACACAACAACCACAUCCAUUAAGUUCCAAAAAUCUUUAUCACCUGCCAAGAAACUCUGCAACAUUCCUUAUUCCCACCUCCUCGUGCUCCUGGGCAACCACUAAUCUGCUUUCUGUUUUGCCUGUUCUGGAUGUUUCUGGUAAAUGGACCUUUUGAGUCUGGCUUCUUUCACUUAGCAUAAUGUCAUCAAGGUUCGUUUAUGUUGUAACAUGAAUUCAUGCUUCACUCCUUUUUCAUUGGUACCGGUGAUCGAACUCAGGACCUUGUUCUCGCAAGACAGGCGGUGGUGCACUGAGCUACAUCCAAGGCCCUUUUAUGCCUGAGUGACAUUCCCUUUUGUGUGCAGGGCACAUUUUGUUCAUCCACUCACCUGUUGAUGGGCUGUUAAUAUUCACGCAAUGAACACUUCUGCACACACAUGGUGUGUAUCUGAAUGUCUG
rnacentral:lncRNA from 1 species